rnacentral:rRNA from 1 species
UGCAUGUCUAAGUACACGCCGCCUCAAGGCGAAACCGCGAAUGGCUCAUUAAAUCAGUUAUGGUUCCUUAGAUCGUACCUCCCUACUUGGAUAACUGUGGCAAUUCUAGAGCUAAUACAUGCAGCAGAGCUCCGACCCUUCGGGGAACGAGCGCUUUUAUUAGACCAAAACCAAUCGGGCCUCGGCUCGUUUCUCGUGGCGACUCUGUAUAACUUUGUGCUGAUCGCGAGGGCUCGUCCCGGCGACGCAUCUUUCAAGUGUCUGCCUUAUCAACUGUCGAUGGUAGGUUAUGCGCCUACCAUGGUCGUAACGGGUAACGGGGAAUCAGGGUUCGAUUCCGGAGAGGGAGCCUGAGAAACGGCUACCACAUCCAAGGAAGGCAGCAGGCGCGCAAAUUACCCACUCCCGGCACGGGGAGGUAGUGACGAAAAAUAACAAUACGGGACUCUCUCGAGACCCCGUAAUUGGAAUGAGUACACUUUAAAUCCUUUAACGAGGAUCUAUUAGAGGGCAAGUCUGGUGCCAGCAGCUGCGGUAAUUCCAGCUCUAAUAGCGUAUAUUAAAGUUGUUGCGGUUAAAAAGCUCGUAGUUGGAUCUCAGUUCCAGACAGGUGGUCCGCCUAACGGUGGUCACUGCCUGUACUGAACAGCUAGUCGGUUUCCUUCGAUGAUCUUCGCCGGUUGUCUUUGGUGACCGACGCGUUUACUUUGAAAAAAUUAGAGUGCUCAAAGCAGGCGCGAUGCCUGAAUAAUGGUGCAUGGAAUAAUGGAAUAGGACCUCGGUACUAUUUUGUUGGUUUUCGGAACGCGAGGUAAUGAUUAAGAGGGACAGACGGGGGCAUUCGUAUUGCGGCGCUAGAGGUGAAAUUCUUGGACCGCCGCAAGACGAACUACUGCGAAAGCAUUUGCCAAGAAUGUUUUCAUUAAUCAAGAACGAAAGUUAGAGGUUCGAAGGCGAUCAGAUACCGCCCUAGUUCUAACCAUAAACGAUGCCAACCAGCGAUCCGCCUGAGUUCCUCAAAUGACUCGGCGGGCAGCUUCCGGGAAACCAGAGUGUUUGGGUUCCGGGGGAAGUAUGGUUGCAAAGCUGAAACUUAAAGGAAUUGACGGAAGGGCACCACAAGGAGUGGAGCCUGCGGCUUAAUUUGACUCAACACGGGAAAACUUACCCGGCCCGGACACCGGAAGGAUUGACAGAUUGAGAGCUCUUUCUUGAUUCGGUGGUAGGUGGUGCAUGGCCGUUCUUAGUUGGUGGAGCGAUCUGUCUGGUUAAUUCCGAUAACGA